GCGUGACUGCGUCACGUUUGAAAAUAUCGUUGCGGUUUGACUGUUGCGUUCUGUCUUCUGUGCACUACCCGGACUGUUUUACCUUCAUUUACGAUGUCAUUUACCUACUGAAUUCUGCUGGCAGACGGCAGACGCCAUCUUCUUCAUCACACUAUGGCACAACGCCUAAGCGUUAUUAUUUUUACUGUGAACUUGGUGGAGGUAUGUGAAAUUAGAAGUAUUUGUUAUUGACUUCGGAUUCAUCCCUUCCGUAUAAAUCUAGUUUAGGGCUCAAGUUCGUUUUUCAAUUUUUUUUUUUUUCAAAAUGUGUGUUUUUGUCUGUACAUUAAGAAUCUCGUUAAGAAUCUAGAAAAAAGAAGUCUGACGAACUUUGUUUGAAAGUUAUGAGGGAAAACUACAUGAAGUUAGGGUUUUCCGUUUUGCGUAUUUCUUAGUGAGAAUUUAACAUUGUCAAUUGUAUUUUUUUCUCAAUGCUUAAUGCAUUGGUAUAAUCAAAACUUACCUAUCAUACUUACUUUUGAAGUUAUUGUACAUAAACCUUGAAAAAUAGCAUUUUUGUAAUUAAUCCAAAAUGUGGUCGAAAAUAAAUAUUUUUUCAUUAUUAUUAUGAAUUGUAUUUAUUGAUAACAUAUAUUUUGAUAGCAAAGUUUUUUUAUUUAAGUCUGAAUAAGUUUAUCUGGUUUAGUUUUCUCUAUUACCUAUCCGUUGUGGUUUUGCAUAACAAAUCAAGUGUUAUUUUUGAUUAAAACAGUCCCAGCGAGCAAGUAACCAAGCCAGGUCUCUAGGUGCACUCAAAAUGCUUUAUGUACAAUAACUUCAAAAGGGUAAAUUUUGAUUAUACCGAUGAAUUAGGUAUUAAAAAACACAUUUUGAAAAAAAAAUUUCAAAUACGAGCUUGGGCCCUAAACUAGAUUUGCCACAUUCCUUCUUUCAGUAGCCCUUUAAAAGGCUGGCAAAUGACAACAGGUGAAUUUGUGCAAAAAAAAUAAUCUAUGCGUUUAUAAUUUAUACCAAUACACUUGCUUUUAACCAACAAUUAUUUUAAAAAUCGUUUCUUACAGUUCUUACACAAUAGCUACUUUGGAAUUUUUUUUAAAAAUUAUAGGAAAAUUUCAAAUUUUUAUUUGUUCACUUUUCAAAAUAUCCAAAAUAGUCACUUCCUUGAAGAUACCUAUUUAUCUAAACAUUUUAAUGUACCAUACUUUCAUAUCCAAUCAAUAGUUUCUUGAUUCUUAGUAAUAGUAAUUUUAAUAUUUAGAAAAUUUGUGUGAAAACAAUUAAUUUUCAAUAGAAUAAUGUAUUACCCGAUAAUGAAUAACAAUCAGCAUGGUAAUACCUUAUCUUUUAUUGCAAAUCAAUUAUUGUUUUUAUGCCUAUUUUCUAGACAUUUAAAUAAAUGGUUAUAACUAAGAAACUUUUGAUUGGUUAUGCAUGUUUCAUACAUAGGACAAUUAAAAUAUAGAAUAAUAUCUUUUACAAAGUGACUAUUUUGAACAUUUUUGUAAAGUUAAUAGUUAUUUUUUUUUUUUUUUAGUGAUUAAGGGAUGAAAAUAAAAAUAAAAAUUUUUAAAAGCUUUAUACAAUUCCGGAGAACACUGGGACAUUCUGUAUAUCGUUGUUAAAAGUAUAGCGCAUAUCUCAGAUUUUGAAGGUUUACAGGAGAAGCAAAAACACAUUUUUAAUAAUUUUUACCAAUUAAAUAUAGGUAACAUAAAACCAUAAUAUGCGACAUAAUAUUGAUUUUAAACGUAUUUUAAAUUCUGAAAUUUAGAUUUUAGUGAAUAUUAGAGAUAGAUAUGCUGUUUACUUUAUGGAUAAUAAAGCUUUAUUUUACAUAGGUACCUACUAUUAUACCUGAUAUGAUGAAAGAUACCAAAACAAAACUUUAAAGGUAUUUUUCACUACAAUAAUAAAAUUAAAUUAAAAAUCUGGUGCUCACCUUAUUCUAUUAGUAAAUAUAUAUUUUUAAUAUUUAGCAAUAUAGCACUGCCACUACCAUUGACAACAACGGCCCCACCAUCGAAAACAAUGACACCACCACCAAACAAAGCAUGACGUGGGCAUGGACACGCCUUGUGCCUGGAGUAGUAAUACUGUAAAUAUUAAUAUUGAUAACUACUAAAAAAUUUGCUUGACUAUACAUUGUUGGCCAUGGCACGGGUGUUAUGCCCCCCCCCCCCUAAGCACCUAAAAGGAAUUAAAUGAUUUUAAUUUAGAUUUAUAAAAAAUAACAAUUGUUAUCAUUAUUUGAAAGGAA
rnacentral:lncRNA from 1 species